GGCCGAGGCGCGCAUUCGCCGCCGCCGCGUUGCAGGAGGGCAGGGCGGAGGCGGAACGGGAAGAUCCCUUGCAGCCCGCUGCUGGCGGCUCUUGCCUUCUACCUCGUGGGAAGCCCGUCCUCUUCCUUCGAGCCAGAGCUCCAGGCGCGGAGACCCCCGCUCGAGGAGAGGGGAGGCCGGGCUGGCGCGCCCCCGUGGCCACGCCAGGAUGCAGCUGCGCGGUCACGGCGCGCCGAGCGAACCCGGGAGGGGAUGUGGGUGGGGCAGAGACCGGGUUUCUCUGCUCCAGUUCCUGAACGGCGCGAGUAGCCCUUUGCACUGAUUCGGGAAUUUAGCGACGGCCCCUUGCCUGGCGAAAAGUGGGUUUGUUAUGGUCUCUCGCUGGGCGCCUGGAACAGCCUGACGCUGCAAACCGGAGCAGGUCUCCCCGAGCAAGUGUGCCGUUGAUCUGGAGAGGGGAGACGCCGGGAAAAGCUGGCCCCAAAAAGUGUCUCCGGCGGCCGUCCUUCGGGAAAGCGUCCUUCGAUUUCACGCCGGAGCAGGCGGGAGGGGAAAGCAAGAUCUCGGCUACCUUUUUUUACCCCAGGUAGGGGAGCAAUUCUUUUGCAGCAUGGUCCUUUCUAAUUUUUUGCACGACUUCUGUGACCGGGGACUGCAGCGUCUCGUGAAGAUGCGCGCAGAGCAGCCCGCCUCGGGUGGUGGAGAUCCCAGAGGGGUUGGAGGAAGAAGGGAAGGGUUGUGUGCGCAUAUAUUUCCAAAUCACGAGGCAGGAAUGGCUUGGGAGGCCGUCAGGAUCCGUAGGAAACCACCACCACCGACCUAAGCUAGCCAUAGGGAUGUAUCUCCUUAGGGUCCGCGUUGCUGUGGCGAGAGAUUCCCAUGGGAAUGGAGAGGAGGGGCUUUGCGCUGGGUGCGGGGGUGGUUUGCCUGCCUGCAAUGAUCUGAGGAGCAGACUGGGGGAAUCUCCUUUGCUCGCGGACCCUGCUUAGGCUGGCAAGCAGCGGCGAAGAUGGUGUUGUAGUUGUAGGGUAGGAAGCCUGAAGAAAACCCCAACCAAAGAGUAGGGCCUUUGGGCCUUGUUUUCGGUCUGGUGGCGACAUCUGUACAGCCACAGUCGGAAACAGGAUGGGCACCACAGAAAGGGCAUGGAAAUAAAAGCAGCUUCAGAAAGGAAAGAGAUGCACAUGUGUAUGGUUUUAAAAUAGAAUAAAAUGUGAGUGGGCCUAGUUGCUCCUUUAUUGGAAUUGUGGGGUUAGCCUUGUGCUGACUAUUGAUGAAAGAAUGAAAACCUUGCCACUUGCAUAAGUUUGGCAGAGUGAUCUUAAACUACAAUUUCUAAAUGGUAAUAGAUUCUGUGCCAGCUGUCUACAUAUUUAUGAGGCACCUGUGCUGAAAUUUGAGGCUUAAAGCUGCAGUCCCACGUACCUGGGAGAACGUCCAAUUUAACUCAGUGGGACAUACUUCUGAAUAAAUGGCUUACACCCAAAUGUCUGAAAGAAUGCCGCCUCUGUGGGUGUCAAGAUCAGCAGUGGGGGCGGGUUGGGGGCACUGCCCUCAGGUGUUUGGGGUGUCGGCCCAGGAGAGCAUUCUCGGUGGCAACCCCUAAAUUAUGGAAUUUCCUCCCCACAUUGAUGCGACCAGUGCCUUCAUUAUGUAGGUUGCAAGAAGAUGCACCUCUUACCCUGGCCUUUUGACUCCUGGUAUUAUGUGUGUGUGUGUGUGUGUGUGUGUGAGAGAGAGAGAGAGAGAGAGAGAGAGAUACACUUUAAGACCUACUGCAUUCUUUUGACUGUAAUUUGUUUUGAACUGUUUUUAAUAUUUAAUUUUAAAAUUGCUGCAAACCAUCCUGGGAUGGAUAAGAAAUCUAAUGUGUAAUAAAAUAAAUAAAGACAACAAGAUGUAUAGAAUUGUACUGUAAGCCUCAGGUACUAUUUUGAAGGCAUUGACACAGCCCUGGAGUAUAUUAGUUAGUGAUAGAAAGGGCAAUACUGAGUGCAUUUCUGUCACAAACAGCUAAGUUUCCCCACGUUAGGAGGGGCAAGGCUUCCCAUUAACAGACUAUGCCUUGUAGGCAGGCCUGAUCAUCACCAUCUCCUUUAUCUUCUCUUCUUUUUAAAAAAGAAAGUAAGCACUGACAGAGGCCUAGUUGGGUGUCACCAUUUUUGACUGCAGGUGUUGGGCUUGCACAAUUGAGUGCUCCUCCCUUCAGAAACAAAAAGCAUCUCAGAGGGAAAAGACUCAAAUAGAACCCUUCUCCAUGACUUCUAGUUUUUUGUAUGGAUGGAUUUUUAUUAUUAUUAUUAUUACUAUUUGUAUGGAAGAACAAUCCAACCUGUGAGAACCUCACCUGCCCUCUGUGGUGGUACAGCUCAGACACAAGUUUACCAUAAUGGGAAGAAUUUGACAAAUCUCUACCUAAUCCUGAAGCAUAACUAUUACUGCACUAGUUGGGCUGCAAUACGAUCAAGGACCUUUGCUUUUAUAUGCUGAUUUUUUUUAAAAAUGCACUGACCCAUAGGAGAGGAACUCCCAAAUUAUGAAUUGGGAUCUCCUGCCAGCUGUGGAAACUUUUAGGGAUGGUAGGCUGUGAUCCAGGAAUUUUCAUUUCAGGGACAGUGGUGAGAAGUUAGUUCAGUACGAAGGUAAAAAUUUUCACAGUGGUGACCUAUAAAAGGAAUUUUCAAAACCCACUUUUGAUUUCAGAGCACUUAACACCCUACUGUACUAUGCUUAAAAUACCUGGAACACAUAGGAACCUAUCUUAUAUCGAACCAGGCUAUUUGUCUCUCUAGCUCAGUAUUGCCUUUUUAAUGGAUGGUCACAGGUGCUUUAUUUGAGAUUCCUGCAUUGCAAAGGCUGUGUGGAUUAGAUUCCCCUUGGGAGUCUCAUCCAACUCUAUGAUUCUAUAAUCAUGCGGACACAUAAUGCAUUUUUGAGGGAGUCCUGUGGGCUUCCCUGCCUCUGUUCACUUCUCUCCCUCAAAUCACACACACAUCUGAGAGACAGAAAAAGAGAAAGCACAUGAACACAUAUUUCACUUUUCCAGGAGAUCGGGGUGAAAGUCAGAUCUAGCAGAAUUAAUCUGAGCCUUAAAUAGAACAUGAGAGAUGAAAGAGGAAGUAGGGAAGAGUGCCACUCUUGCAGCUUCCUCCUGCAACUCUAUGCACUUUUCAAGGGAGAAGAAGGUAUCAACCCUCAUCACCUCACAACCAAGAGAGCAGCAAAGGGGAGGGUCCCUCAGAGACUCUGUAGGAGUCAGGAGAAGGUGUCAAGGGUGCAUCUGCAUGCUCACGAGCACAGUGUUGGUGAUCCCUGGCCUGCUCUGACUGGCCGUUCCUCUCCAACAGGCUUAGGCAACCUUCGGCCCUCCAGAUGUUUUGGCCUACAACUCCCAUGAUCCCUAGCUAACAGGACCAGUGUUUAGGGAUGGUGGGAAUUGUAGUCCAAAACAUCUGGAGAGCCAAAGGUUGCCUAUGCCUGCUCUACAAGGACCGAGGCAGGAGUCCUUUCCAUCUUUUAAACUGGAGAAGCCAAGGAUUGAAGUUGGGACUUUCUGCUGAUGCUCAGCUAUUGAUCUACGGCUUUGCCCCUACGAUCACCCUGUUGUUCAUAACUUCUAUAUCCUUCUAUGACGGCCCUAAUCAUAAGUGCUUUGUGAGUGAAUUCUAUGACUGCUGGAACGGGAGUAGCUUCUGCACUGGGCCUGAUGAGCUAAUCAGAAACACAGAGACCAUAAAAACCGCCGAGCUCCUUUAUAGUUUGCUUGCAUAGGGAGCCGGUACUCUCAGAUUGUCAGUAUAUUUUCUCCUGCUGAAGCUUUUUCUAAACUCUUUGGUGAUGUUUGGCCUCUUCCUCACACCCACACCUCUGUAGGAAUCCAUUGAAGUGAACUACGUGGCACCUGCCUUUUCUUAUCACUGCUCUUUAUUCUGGGCCUGUAUUUAUUAUCACACCAAGUGCAUGAACCUUCCUGGAAGAGGAGGAGGGCGUGUCUUGAAUACACAUCUCAGUCUACUGCAGUGCCAUAACCUGUGGCCGCUGGGAAGCUUGGUUCAAGCCACUGGCUUCUGAGAUGCUCCUUGCACAGUGUCAGUCGGCUCGCCGUAGCCACCAGGACUAGAAAUUUCCUCCUUGUUUCUAAAAUGGAAACUACAAUUCUCCACUUGUUCUGGGAUACAACAUGGGUGUUUAAAGAUAUGUAUGUUUGUAGGAAACCAUGGCACACGAGCAGUGAACACAGUUGCUUUCCAGAGUGGUCCUGCUUAAACUCCAGGCCCCUGGGAAAUCUGUGAAAUGAUAUAUAAUGAACUGAAUAAAAUGUUUAAAAUAACUUUAGUAAAAAAAAACAACAACCAGGAGCUUUUCUGUUAGGGAUAGUGAAUAUAGAGAUUCCGAAGGACCCUAAAAAUUUGUUCAUGUAUGCCACAACUGCAGCCAGAAUGGUGUUUGCCCAGAGGUGGAAAGAAGAUGUUAUACCAGCUAAGGAAGUAUGGCUGAUUAAAUUGAUGGAUUGUGCCAAAAUGGCAAAACUGACAGGUGUAAUAAGAAACCAAGAGGGAUUU
rnacentral:lncRNA from 1 species